AGCUUGCUUUUCCGCUGACGACCGGCGCACGGGUGCGUAACACGUAUGCAACCUACCUCUUACUGAAGGAUAGCCCAGAGAAAUUUGGAUUAAUACUUCAUAACACCACAAGAUCGCAUGAUCUCAUGGUUAAAGGUUACGGUAAGAGAUGGGCAUGCGUCCUAUUAGUUUGUUGGUGAGGUAAUGGCUCACCAAGACUACGAUAGGUAGGGGGUCUGAGAGGAUUAUCCCCCACACUGGUACUGUGACACGGACCAGACUCCUACGGGAGGCAGCAGUGAGGAAUAUUGCACAAUGGAGGAAACUCUGAUGCAGCCAUGCCGCGUGAAGGACGACGGCGCUAUGCGUUGUAAACUUCUUUUAUAUACCAAGAAACCUUCGGACGUGUCCGAAGCUGACGGUAGUAUAUGAAUAAGCACCGGCUAACUCCGUGCCAGCAGCCGCGGUAAUACGGAGGGUGCAAGCGUUAUCCGGAUUUAUUGGGUUUAAAGGGUCCGUA
rnacentral:rRNA from 1 species